UGCCCUGCUGAGUUUGCCAGUAGCGGCUUCGCCGUCCGAGGCCCCCGCCAGCCUUGGCACAGCAACAGACGGAGAUACACAGGCUUAGAUUUCCAUGUGCUCUCUCAUACUACAGCGGCUAUAUAGACCCCAUUUUGUAGGCCAAGUACAAUUACUACUGUAGGAGGUUCACUGGACUCUUCGCAGUAAAACAAGCUUCAUACGUGCAACUGUGCCAGUAUACGUGUCAUACUCUCCAAAAACGGAUGCCCUGAUGUUUCUGACAAGUGGAGCCGGCAUGUAGCUGAACAUUAGAAGCGCGGAGACAAGUCAUGGGGGUCUGGGCACAAGACAUGGAACAACCCAGGAUGGGGCACCUACAGGCAACAUGGCAACUCCAACUAGCCUCAACAUGUUUUUGGACUGUGGGAGGAAACUCCACUACAAUAAGGGUCGAACAUGCAAACUCCACCCACAUGAAGCCAUGCCAGAGACUUGAACCCAGGUCCCAGGGGACAGUGCUAACCACUGCACCACCAUGCCAUACUGACACACAUAUACUGGACAAUCUUGAAAAGGAAUAAUCAUUAAAAUUCAAAGCUAGCUAAGGAUUUUUCCUAUGACAGAGUGAAAUGUUUUACUUUAAGCCCCUUAAUGUUGUGUGAUCUGGUGAAUUUAAACAUACUAGGAAAAAAUACAAGUAACAGGGAUUUGUUUUAUUAUUUAAAUCUUUUGCACCUGGCGCUUGUUUGGUAAAGUAAAAUAUGUCAGAUUAA